GACGAACGCUGGCGGCGUGCUUAACACAUGCAAGUCGAACGAGAGCGUAGAGAAAGCUUGCUUUUUCUACAAUCUAGUGGCAAACGGGUGAGUAACGCGUAAACAACCUGCCCUACGGAUGGGGACAACAGCUGGAAACGGCUGCUAAUACCGAAUACGUUCCGAAAGUCGCUUGACUAUCGGCAGAAAGGCUGGCCUCUCUUUAUAAGCUAUCGCCGGAGGAGGGGUUUGCGUCUGAUUAGCUAGUUGGAGGGGUAACGGCCCACCAAGGCGACGAUCAGUAGCCGGUCUGGGAGGAUGAACGGCCACAUUGGAACUGGGACACGGUCCAGACUCCUACGGGAGGCAGCAGUGGGGAAUCUUCCGCAAUGGGCGAAAGCCUGGCGGAGCAACGCCGCGUGAGUGAAGACGGCCUUCGGGUUGUAAAGCUCUGUUAUACGGGACGAAUAAUCUUGUGGUUAAUACCCAUGAGAAGUGACGGUACCGUAAGAGAAAGCCACGGCUAACUACGUG
rnacentral:rRNA from 1 species